rnacentral:rRNA from 1 species
GACGUAGGGCGCGAGCGUUGUCCGGAUUUAUUGGGCGUAAAGAGCUCGUAGGCGGCUUGUCGCGUCGUCCGUGAAAACCCACAGCUCAACUGUGGGCUUGCGGUCGAUACGGGCAGGCUAGAGUUCGGUAGGGGAGACUGGAAUUCCUGGUGUAGCGGUGAAAUGCGCAGAUAUCAGGAGGAACACCGGUGGCGAAGGCGGUUCUCUGGGCCGAUACUGACGCUGAGGAGCGAAAGCGUGGGGAGCGAACAGG